rnacentral:rRNA from 1 species
UUGUAUAAUGGGUCAGCGACUUAUAUUCUGUAGCAAGGUUAACCGAAUAGGGGAGCCGAAGGGAAACCGAGUCUUAACUGGGCGUUAAGUUGCAGGGUAUAGACCCGAAACCCGGUGAUCUAGCCAUGGGCAGGUUGAAGGUUGGGUAACACUAACUGGAGGACCGAACCGACUAAUGUUGAAAAAUUAGCGGAUGACUUGUGGCUGGGGGUGAAAGGCCAAUCAAACCGGGAGAUAGCUGGUUCUCCCCGAAAGCUAUUUAGGUAGCGCCUCGUGAAUUCAUCUCCGGGGGUAGAGCACUGUUUCGGCAAGGGGGUCAUCCCGACUUACCAACCCGAUGCAAACUGCGAAUACCGGAGAAUGUUAUCACGGGAGACACACGGCGGGUGCUAACGUCCGUCGUGAAGAGGGAAACAACCCAGACCGCCAGCUAAGGUCCCAAAGUCAUGGUUAAGUGGGAAACGAUGUGGGAAGGCCCAGACAGCCAGGAUGUUGGCUUAGAAGCAGCCAUCAUUUAAAGAAAGCGUAAUAGCUCACUGGUCGAGUCGGCCUGCGCGGAAGAUGUAACGGGGCUAAACCAUGCACCGAAGCUGCGGCAGCGACGCUUAUGCGUUGUUGGGUAGGGGAGCGU